rnacentral:rRNA from 1 species
AGAGUUUGAUCCUGGCUCAGGAUGAACGCUAGCGACAGGCUUAACACAUGCAAGUCGAGGGGCAGCGGGGCAGGAAGCUUGCUUUCUGCCGCCGGCGACCGGCGCACGGGUGAGUAACACGUAUGCAACCUGGCCGUGACAGAUGGAUAACCGGGAGAAAUCCCGCCUAAUACAGCAUGACGCCGGGAAGGGACAUCCCUUUCCGGCCAAAGGGGGCGACUCCGGUCACAGAUGGGCAUGCGGCGCAUUAGGUAGUUGGAGGGGCCACCGCCCACCAAACCCACGAUGCGUCGGGGUUCUGAGAGGAAGGUCCCCCCAAUUGGAACUGAGACACAGUCCAAACUCCUACGGGAGGCAGCAGUGAGGAAUAUUGGUCAAUGGCCGGAAGGCUGAACCAGCCAAGUCGCGUGAGGGAAUAAGGCCCUACGGGUCGUAAACCUCUUUUGUCAGGGAGCAAGGCCGCCCACGUGUGGACGGAAGGAGAGUACCUGGAGAAAAAGCAUCGGCUAACUCCGUGCCAGCAGCCGCGGUAAUACGGAGGAUGCGAGCGUUAUCCGGAUUUAUUGGGUUUAAAGGGUGCGUAGGCGGCCUGCCAAGUCAGCGGUAAAAUUGCGGGGCUCAACCCCGUACUGCCGUUGAAACUGCAUCCCUUGAGUGCGCGAGAAGUAUGCGGAAUGCGUGGUGUAGCGGUGAAAUGCAUAGAUAUCACGCAGAACCCCGAUUGCGAAGGCAGCAUACCGGCGCCCGACUGACGCUGAGGCACGAAAGUGCGGGGAUCAAACAGGAUUAGAUACCCUGGUAGUCCGCACAGUAAACGAUGAA